rnacentral:ncRNA from 1 species
ACUUUUAACCAACACUAAUUGUAUGGAUAUAUGUAUGUAUAUACCUUAUCCGUAGAUUCCUUGCUCACUCAAUGGAGAAGGGAUUGGGCUGUCGCUGAGUAAUGGCUCAUUAUCUGGUGUGAAGUGCACAGUGCAUAUCAAGUGCUUUGUGGGCGCCAGCGCAGCCGAUGCAUGACCCUUAGUUGAGAACAGUGUUGGCCAGGGAGUUUGACUGGGGCAGUACGUCUGUCAAAUGGUAACGCAGGUGUCCCAAGGCGACCUCAGUGUGGAUGGAAACCACACAUCAAGCAAAGGGGCAUAAGCUCACUCUAUCUUGAUAAAAAAAGAGAUCAACUGGUUGAGUUUCAAUCCUCUCUUGGGAUAUCAUCAGCAAUUUUAUAUUUAAACUGGAUAG